rnacentral:rRNA from 1 species
UACGUAGGGUGCGAGCGUUGUCCGGAAUUAUUGGGCGUAAAGGGCUCGUAGGCGGUUUGUCGCGUCGGGAGUGAAAUCCACUGGCUUAACUGGUGGCUUGCUUCGAUACGGGCAGACUGGAGGUAUGCAGGGGAGAACGGAAUUCCUGGUGUAGCGGUGAAAUGCGCAGAUAUCAGGAGGAACACCGGUGGCGAAGGCGGCUCUCUGGCCCGCAACUGACGCUGAGGCGCGAAAGCGUGGGGAGCAAACAGG